rnacentral:rRNA from 1 species
AGGUGGUGCAUGGUUGUCGUCAGCUCGUGUCGUGAGAUGUUGGGUUAAGUCCCGCAACGAGCGCAACCCCUACGUUUAGUUGCUAACAGGUGAAGCUGAGCACUCUAGACGAACUGCCGUUGACAAAACGGAGGAAGUGGGGAUGACGUCAAAUCAUCAUGCCCCUUAUGUUCUGGGCUACACACGUGCUACAAUGGCCGGUACAGACGGACGCAAAGCCGCGAGGUGGAGCAAAUCCUAAAAAGCCGGUCUCAGUUCGGAUUGCAGGCUGCAAUUCGCCUGCAUGAAGUCGGAAUCGCUAGUAAUCGCAGGUCAGCAUACUGCGGUGAAUACGUUCCCGGGCCUU